rnacentral:rRNA from 1 species
AGUGAACGCUGGCGGUAGGCCUAACACAUGCAAGUCGAACGGCAGCACAGUAAGAGCUUGCUCUUACGGGUGGCGAGUGGCGGACGGGUGAGGAAUACAUCGGAAUCUACUUUUUCGUGGGGGAUAACGUAGGGAAACUUACGCUAAUACCGCAUACGACCUACGGGUGAAAGCAGGGGAUCUUCGGACCUUGCGCGAUUGAAUGAGCCGAUGUCGGAUUAGCUAGUUGGCGGGGUAAAGGCCCACCAAGGCGACGAUCCGUAGCUGGUCUGAGAGGAUGAUCCGCCACACUGUAACUGAGACACGGUCCAGACUCCUACGGGCGGCAGCGGUGGGGAAUAUUGGACAAUGGGCGCAGGCCUGAUCCAGCCAUACCGCGUGGGUGAAGAAGGCCUUCGGGUUGUAAAGCCCUUUUGUUGGGAAAGAAGAGCAGCAGGUUAAUACCCCGCUGUUCUGACGGUACCCAAAGAAUAAGCACCGGCUAACUUCGUG